rnacentral:sRNA from 1 species
CAUGGAUAAACCAAAGCCAUGGCAUACACAUACAGGUCAGAAGACAACUUUGUGGGAUCAGUUGUCUCCUUCUUCCUUUAUGGGGUUUCAGAGAUUGAGGCAUGGGUGGCAAGCACCUCUUCCUGCUGAGCCAACUUGCCAGUCCAUUUAAUAAUAUUGUCUGUCAGGAGGCAGAGCCAAGAGGACCCCAAAGACAAAGGGGAAGAAGGGUUGCAGGAGCCAGAUGGCUCAGGACAUAAGAACACCACCCACAGGAUUAGCUAAACAGGGCUCAGGGGAUCACAGAGACUGAAGUGACAAUCAAAGACCGUGUCUGGGCCUGAGCUGGAUCUUUUGCCUAUUUAUUAUGGCUGUGUAGCUUGGUGUUCUUAUGGGACUCCUAUCAGUAAGAGUCUGGUGGCUCUGAAUCGUUUUCCUGCAUUGGUGACCCUUUUCUUCCUACUGGCUUGCCUCGUCCAGCUUUGAUGAUAUGAGGGAUGGACGUCAGCCUCAGUCUGUGAGCCAGAGCAAACCCUUUCUUCCAGCAGUUGCUUCUAUCCAAUAUUCUGUCACCGUCAGAUCUAUGUCACUAACAUAGAAAGCUGAUACCCAAAAUGGAGCAGUCUCUAUCAUAAAUCUGACCUAUUUGAUAUGAGUUAUAUGAUUAAUCAGAUAAGUUCUGAGGCCUUUGAGGCUGGCUUGCAGGACAAACGUGGAAGGGUUUGGAAUGUGGGGCUAGCAAACAGGUAGAAGGCUGUGAACAGAGUUUGCCAGGACUUUCUGCCAGGAGUUUAGAAGACCAGAAUAUAGGGAGAAGUGUAGAUCAUGGAGACUGGCUCCUGAGAUUCUAGAGGGGUACAGAGAUUCCACCAGGAAAUCCUCUAAACAAUUCGUGUUAUUUUCUGGUGAGCAAUCUGGCUGUAUCUUUUCUAUGCCCUGGGGAAUUAAGAGACAUUAAUUACUAACUCAGUGGAUUAAUUUUUUGGUAGAGGAAAUUUCAAGAAAGGAUUGUAUGUGGGUUGAGGUUAUGGCCCCAGCUUGCUCCUCUCACCCAACACGCAUGGGAAGCCAUGCCUUAUGAAAAAUGCAAAUUUGGUUGAAAGACAUGGGCUAAACCGUGACUAGCACUGAAGAGAAGGUUCCUGACUCAAAACCCACAGCCUGUGAGGGAUGCUGUACGGCACUGUGGUCCUACAUUCUGAGAUGACAACACUUCACAGUCUCAGCUGCAUGGACAAUACAAGAUUGAGGGGUUCAUGAAGUUUAGGGCCAAAGUCCCUGAGAGCCACUAACACCACGACAGGGUUGGAGUUCCUGCAAGGAGGCUCUGAGAGGCUGUGGCAUGAAGCUGUGAAAGUGAAGUCUGAAUUGAGAUUGUGAUUUUGCUGCAGCAACAAGAAAGAGCAUAGUGGAAAGUUGAGAGCUUUUAGAGACGCAUUUCAAGUUCCUAAUCAGCUUACUUGGAAAGAUUAUCGUAAAUGGAUCUACCCUGACUGCAGAGAACAUUAAGUGGAUCUGGACCUUUGCUGACACUGAGAAUCUGGAUCCACAAGAAGAAGCAAGCUGUUAUAAAUGCUACAGCCAGAAGAAAGGAUGAGAAUUCUGUUCUGCCCUGAGGGCCCUCGUGAACUUAUCCUUCUAGAUUCCAGCCCUAGCUUAGAGCUCAGACUGUUCCUUACACAAUGGUCUGGGCAUAGCACCCCUUAAGCCAUGCCUGGACUGACAGAACUAAUAUAUAUUUAAAGCCGUGUCCUGAGUGACUGGUGUAUUGUAAGCCUCUGUGUGGCAGCAGCUAGCUAAUGUAGCUGUUGAGCCUAUUUUAAGAGACUCUCUUCACCAUUAAAUUGUCACAGUCACAUUGCUCUCAUCCAUCUGGGUCACUCCCUGCAUUUAAAAUCAGUGUUCCCACCUCCCUCCUGUUCUUCCCAUUCCACUACCCAAAUGUCUCCUGAGGACACUUCUUACAAACACAGUCCCAAAGAGGGUGCCUGAUAUCAGGAUUUUCAAAUGCUUGAAUGCACAGUGAUUUCUUACUUUUAUGCAUGUGGGUAUUGUGUGUGCAUGUCUGGGUGUGUGCAGGUUCACGUGUGUACAUAUGCAUGUGGAAGCCUGGGUACAACCUCAGGAGUCAGCCUCAGAAAUGACAUCCAUCUCAUUGGCAAUGAGGUCUCUGGUUAACCUGGAAUUCAUCAAAUAGGCUAGACCAGCAGACCUGUAAGCCCCAGAAGCCCUUGCCUCUGCUUCCCCAGGACUAGGAUGACAGUUGCUUUUAUAUGCAUUCUGGAGAUUGACUGCAUGUCCUUGCAUUUGCAAAUGAAGCACUUCACCAACAAACUAUCUUUCCUUUGUCCUCAAAUUUAGGUGGUUCUCUGACAACCAAUCCUUUACCAUUCUAAACAUGGCUGCCGUGUGGCCUGCUCUCCCAGCCCUCUUGCUGUAUGCACGCAACCUGCACAACCCAUGUAAAAUCUUACAGACUCUUCUGGUCAGCCCAGGAGUUAGAACUUCUACCAGGAAAUGGUGACUUA